UUGAACGCUGGCGGCAUGCUUUACACAUGCAAGUCGAACGGCAGCACGGGCUUCGGCCUGGUGGCGAGUGGCGAACGGGUGAGUAAUAUAUCGGAACGUACCCAGAAGUGGGGGAUAACGUAGCGAAAGUUACGCUAAUACCGCAUACGAUCUAUGGAUGAAAGCAGGGGACCGCAAGGCCUUGUGCUCCUGGAGCGGCCGAUAUCCGAUUAGCUAGUUGGUGAGGUAAAGGCUCACCAAGGCGACGAUCAGUAGCUGGUCUGAGAGGACGACCAGCCACACUGGAACUGAGACACGGUCCAGACUCCUACGGGAGGCAGCAGUGGGGAAUUUUGGACAAUGGGCGCAAGCCUGAUCCAGCAAUGCCGCGUGAGUGAAGAAGGCCUUCGGGUUGUAAAGCUCUUUUGUCAGGGAAGAAACGGUAGAGGCUAAUAUCCUUUGCUAAUGACGGUACCUGAAGAAUAAGCACCGGCUAACUACGUG
rnacentral:rRNA from 1 species